UCCCUCAUAGCUCAGUCGGUAAAGAAUCUGCCUGCAAUGCAGGAGGCCCAGGUUCAAUUCCUGGGUGGGGAU
rfam:TPA: Bos taurus chromosome 10, whole genome shotgun sequence.